GCAGCCGUGCCGUUUUCCUUACCAACAUUAUU
rnacentral:scRNA from 1 species